CUGAAAUUCCCAUUGAAAUCAUCAUCCAAGUUCCAUAAACCGUCCCAAAGAAAUUCCUCGUUCGAUGUAUCGCUGCUCGAAACAUUGCCAUCGAUUAUCAUGGGAUAAACGAAGCCUUGUUCUUGAUCCGUCGUGCUGUUGUGGUUGAGGAUUUGUUGCUGUUGAAAUUGUUGCCUUUUAAGUAUUCGAGCUUUUGCCUUAAUGGAGUUAUCAGGCUUUUUCUUGAAAUGGGUCCUCCAGUAGUUCUUGAUCUCAUUAUCAGUUCUUCCAGGUGCUGGAAGACAUGGAAUUGAGUGCGCUGAAGCGUUUUAUUCUCCUAUUUAUGAGUUGGGGAAAGACUGUGUAGUUCUAGACAUUGUGUUAAAAAGAAUUUAUAUAAUUAAAACCUACAAUAAAUUGUAAAAAAAAAACCAAUUUUUUUAUUAUUUUGAAAUACAACAAUCAACCG